AUAGGACUCAGAGAGGACGGAACCAACAAGUGCUUGCAUCAGCCUCACGUGUCCAGGAUGCCAUGUUCAUACUGCCGGGGUGCGUGGCUGCACCCAGCCGUGCUCUCAGCCACGUGGCCGGUGCUCACUGGUGGGUCGGCUCGGACACACCGGCUGACGGCCCCACGGUCACACAGCUCCCAAGAGCCCGGGAACUUCCCGAAUUUCACACAAGCUCGUACAGCACCAACAGCAGUGAUAAACCAGAUGAAAAGACACGGAAGGGACCCUCCCUGGGAAACCCACGGGUCUAACCCCACCAACUGCCCCAGCCAUGCUCAGCUCUGGCUGGGGCUCCUGCUCCCAACAGGAGUGGAACUGCAGAGCUCCUUCACUGACUGCACACCUCAUCCUUCUGAUACAGCUUUGAAACCACAUCCCUCGUCCAUUCUUUUCACCCCGUCUGUGCAAGAAACUCACAGAGACUUCAGGCUUCCCUUGGAAGCACAGUGGAAAUGAGGUGCCUGCUUCAAAUGCAGGGUUUUCUACUAUGCUAAGAUGCACGCCACAAAAGCGCAGCUGUGGAAAAACUGUCCCUGGACUACGUUUUUCAAGCUGGAAGCCUGUCAACAGUCCUGCAACUCUUACACAGGGUAUUUUCUAGGUUUAUUUAUCUUCAUUCCUUCUCCCCCCAUCUCUGAAGUAUUUUCUUCAAAAUCCCAAGACACUUGCCGGUCAAAGAAUGAGUCAUGUUUCUGGCGGACUAUGGGUCAUUUUUCAUCAUAUCCAGUGUGGCAACACGGGGCAGAUGCUCACUGAUUUGAGUUAUGGUCCAGACACACUAAUCAGUCUGAUCUGUGAAGAAACUCUCGGUCUUUCAAAACAUUCACAUGGUUUCCUACCAGCAGAUCAUAUUGCAACAGGAGUAUGUGUUUUUGUAUUUCUUCAUACUGUGACACUGCUGGAAAAACACAUUUCAUGACCUCAGGAUAAAGGGGGGAGGGAACUAAAAAAAAUACAAUAAACAGAUGAUGCCCCUCCCCCACCCUGUAUACUUUAGGAAUCUCCUUCCCCUGCUCCCUUUUUCACCUUCAGCUUGUGCGCUUGGAUGUGUUUAUGUCUCUGGUGAGCUCAGAAGUUGCAGCACCAGGCAAGCAGCUUGGUAAAGCCUGAUUUGCAGCCUGAAUACCCACCCAGCUCUCAGAGGACAUGAGGACCACUUCCCAGGCUGACCACUGACCCUGGUAACAGGCUGCUUUACAUAUGCUGAAGAAAAAAAAAAAAAAAAGAGAGACCAGCUCUACUACUGCAAGGCAUCUACAAAGCCAGAAGCAAUCUUCAUCUUCCUGCUUACUGGCACCAAACAAGACAGAGCUAUUAAAUGGGGCUUUUUUUCGGAAAGGAAAUGCUGCCUAGUGGAAGUAGAAGCUUCUCAGCAAAGCAGCUCACAAGGGCUCUCAUCCAGGCUGUGUUGCUUUGACCACAUUUUGCCAACACCACUGAGAAGCCCUGAGCCAGUGGUGAAAGGUUACAGCACAUUUUAUGCCUUGCAUGAAUUUUGAACAGCAGUGCACAAGUCCAGAUAGCUCCAGCUUUCAUUCAAGAGAGCUGGCUCGCCAGCCACAGCCCCAGAAAGCCUGCAAAGUUAUAAACCUCCGUACCUGUUCUUGGGAGUCUCACAGCUAUGGGUCUAUCACACGGAAGCAGAGGAGUGUUCUGGUUUGUUUAUGGUUUCAUAGUCAAAGACCAGAGCCAGAGACAGGACAGGAGGAGUGAAAAGGGAUGGCAGGUUCUGAGAGAAGGACAUGUCCUGACCUGGAGCAAUCGACUCUCACUCAUCCUUUAGCACAGCACGGUAGCAAGGCAGUUGUCACUUAGCAAAUUCUAGGUGACAAUUAAGACAAUCUUUCCCUACAGGAUUUUUCUCUUCCAAAAAUAUGUUAGUGAAACAUUCCUGACAGUUCAUCUCCUGUUGUUGGUGUAAGAAGAUGUUGUAGGCUAAUUACCUGACAACACAGGCUUAAACAGACCAGGAAACCAGCAGAUUUCUCCUUUUGGUUAUAUCUGUAGGAAAGGGGUUUCUUUGUUGCUCUCACUGUGUUUUCCAGUGCCACUGUUUUAGAAACCUGGGCACCUAGCUCCUGUAGACACUGCCAGCAGGUGGGGACCAGAAGAGGACUUAAAUGCUUCAGAACUCUUGUGCAUUUGAACCCAGAGGGAGGUAAAUUCAUGAGUCACCUUUGGGGAGUCUACGCCCGAUUAGUGAGCCCUUGAUGGAAUACUGGAAGCACAUCUCAACCUGGACACUGGCACUAAAUCAAACGGGAAGGAAGAGAAGGAAAGGGAACCAGUGCACAGAGCACACAGACUAUCGGAGACAGGAAUGCAACCCAGCAGGCAGAUGUGAUGGAUGCAGGAAAAAGUAAAGAGAUCAGGACAGAAAACAUGGCCCUGCACACUCAUACUCACAAACAUAACCCUUACUUGCCUGGGAACAAAGGAAUCAAUCUUGCAAACUGUAUAAGGAUUAGAAAUAGGCAUCUGAGCUUUCCUUUACAUAGAGUUAUUAACCUGUAGCAUUAUUUUCCACAUCGUACUGGGACCAUUAUGCGUUUUCCCAAAGUAUCCAGGACUAUCAGUAAAACUUUGGAUUCAAAAGUAUGGAAACAAUCCACUUCGGUUUUCCUUUCCAUAGACGUCCAGUGCUCUGGUCCUAGCAAAUGACCUAGAUUCCUUGGAGAAGAAAUUUAAUCACUUGCAGGGAGCCCAUGCAGAACAGAUCACAAUAUUUGUUCUCUGAUCCAGUCACAAAGACGUCAUCAAGCUUACUGCAUUUUGACUUCUCAUGACUAAUCUGCACAGAAAUAUCAUCCAAGAAGCUCUUUACAGAGAACAGGAAAGCACAGAUACUAUGCUCAGGUUUUCAGCUAAAUGGGCAUGUGACGCUGUGCUUUAAUUUUAUGUUAAAUGUCCUAGCCAGAAAUCUCACGUGACAGCUGGUCCUGAGAAUUCUGUAAUAUGAUAAUGAAAUGUCUGCCUAUAAACAAAAGUGUUUGUAUUACAAGUGCUUUCCCAUGGCAUUUAACUAUGCAGCAUGAAUCAGAGGCAGGCACAGCAGCAGGUUUUCUUAGGUCUAAGCAAGUAUCUUAUUGUAUCCCAAGAGAAAUAGAACAGCAAUAUGUGAUCUUUCCCCAGCAGUGUCGCACAGCACAGUCCUAGCAAUAAAAAUAAUAAGAUCUCUUACAUUUAUACAGUAUAUGUAUCUAUUAUUUCAAAGAAUUCUCAAAGCUAUUUACUAACUACGUAUCUAUCUCAGCAUUUGAGAUUGCUGCUAUAUCAUGGGUUGGCUGCAAACAGCAAGGUCUCAUGUGGACUUUGCAGAGCGUCUGGCGCUUCUUUUGGAAAGGAAUGUGAAGACUGGUACCAAAACCUCUGGCAGGAGAAGAAAAUUCCCAUGCCAUUAAAUCCAGCCACUUCUGAAAGACAGCUGUGUACAGAACAGAAACACAGGAGUCCAGGACAGCUCAUGAGAAAAAGUGCCACAGCCAGCUGGAAGCACGUGUUGAAUUCAGUUGGCUGGGGUAUGACCUCCAAGGAGAUGUCCACACUACAGACUUGAUCCAACCAGUGCUCCCCACUCUCCUAAUACUCACCGGCCAAAGGCUUGCUCAGGAAUCUACCAGCAAUUUGUCAUUAUCUAAGUUUCGAAAGGUUGGGAUAAACCUGACAGCAAAAGGCAAUAAGGCAGGGACCCCGGCCGCCAGCUCUGACAGCGUCUGUCCUCAGACCUUCUCGUGUGGGUGCAGCACACAGGCAUGGGGGGGUGGACACUACCCCCAGGCUAACAAACCCUCUCCAAACAGCAAAGCAGGGCAGAUGAUCUGACCGGUUCCUUGCAAUUCCCCCUCCUAGCUGGCUGAUCGGGUGUAGAGCCUGAGUUGACCCAGACGAGCAAUGUACUUGUGCUCACAUAACCUCGCAUGUGAGCUAACAAACUCUGACAGAUAGUAGCGUACUGGCUGCGUAUAACUCAGAUAACCAGAGGCCUGACUCUGAUCUAUCGACACCGAUCUUACCCCAGUGUAGUGCCACUGGUUUCUGUUGAAAUACAGCCAAGGUUGGACCGAUUCAGGAAAAGUCCAGAUGUAAUUUUGCCUACUGAAGGCAGGACUGCAUUUUAAGUGAGAACAGAUUUAAUUAGUGCUGUUUUAACAUGAUGAGUCGAAGAAUUAGGAAAGGGGGGAAAUAAAGACAGACAGAGCUCCAACAACUAUAAAUUUUAAUCUCCCCACUGUGAGUUUAAAAAAUGCGGGAGAGUUGAGGAAGGGAAGAGGAAUUACCAGAGGGAAAUAAUGUCUCUCCUAACAAGAUAAUGCGGGGUUUGGGAAAUAAAACCAGAUAGAAAAAGCCUGGAGUUAAGAACCCUGCUGCUUAAAAGCAGCACUGAAUUCCCAUCACUGCAGGUUAUAAUGGAAUGGUUCUGCUUUGCUUUGUAUUUAACAUUCUACAUUUCACUCCUGUUCACAGACCUCUGUGGAAAGCCAAGUUUUGAUGUGGGAUUACGGUGCAAUGCCUGAUGACCACAUUAGCCAUCUGCUCUCUUGCAGGUCCGAGCACAAGUCCAGGUCUUUCUCAGCCAAGAGUCGUUGGCUAAAUGAAGUGACAUUUCUGAUUUGCGUGUCAAACUGUUUCCACUACUGCAUGCACGUGAGCGUAGCUGUGGUUUGCUGUUCAGCACGGUUGAAUCGCGUUCAAGACCUGCAGGAAGAAGACUUCCAGCCGAGACCAGCCGCUAACGGCUCACCUGGCAGAGCCACUGCCCAUGGCCUAGGCAGCACUUGCCAAGUUCAGACAUGGCUUGUGAUGAAUGAAGAACACACGCAACAAGUCUAGCCACAGCUAAACAGACUCAAACACCUGGCCGGGAGCCAGCAGAUGCAACACCACGCGUUUUACAGCAUGCUGGGAGAGGGAGCAUGAUCGUCUAUCUCCAGCAACAGACUAGGCUCAGCAUCUUUGCUCUCUUAUUUAUGAGAAACGUGGUCUGCUCAAGGUUCACGCUCCAAAGAACUAAAGAUCCACUGACAUAAACUCCAAAUGAUACCCAAAAUUAGACUGAAACACGUUCUAAUAAUUGGCAGCAGGCAAGAACUUUUAUCUGCUUUAAAUCAGAGCAGAAAGGAAUGAAACAGUUCCAGGUGGAUCUGCUGUGUAGCGGAAAUGCCUUAAAUGCCCAGAGGAGCACAAUAUAAAAAUCGAAACACUCCGAUAUAAAGCCUCUGACGUCAGAGGAGCUGUUUCCUCCAGCCUCAGCCAGCUUUAAUAAAAAUCCACUGAGAAGUUCCAGAAGCAGCAUUUACUUUGGAGUCUAAAAGACUUAUUCAGUGUCUGCUAUAAAAACAAUUUUGAGAACUUAUUUAUUGGAGCUGGUGGGUAGCCCUGGUGUGCUUCCUAGUGCCUCCUGUCACUGCGGACAGACCCACACCCGACAGAUGCCCACCCAGCCAGUAACCAGCCAUCAGCUGCAUGCUUGCCCUUAGUACCCUGCUUGUGGGUAAAAAGCAGUAAAAUAAACUAAUAACAUUUAGUAAUAAUAAAAAAUAAAAAUAAAUUAAUAAGGUGCAUUUC